CAUAGCGAGCCCCACCCCUACCCCAUCUCGUCACCCGCCUGCUAUCAUCUGAGGGCUCUCCUCUUCUCGGUUUGGAGGAAAUCUCUCCCCUCUCCGGUGUUCUCUUCCUUUUUUUCUCACCCUCGUUUUCUCCCAUUCUCGCCUCCAUCCUCCCCCCAAUCAACCUCUCUUCUCCGGUGAAUCAACAAUCCUCGUAUUGUCUGCGGCAAGUGAUUCAGACUGUGGGUCAGAUCUCUACUUCUUCACUCUUUCUCUCUCUUUUUUUUUAUGUGAUUUCUGGACGCAGCGGUUUAUCGAUCUCUUCCCGGCCUUGUGAGUUGGUGAUUUGGUGGAUGGGGUGUGGUGACGUCAAGAAAGCAAGAAAAGGAAGGAGUCGAGGAUGCUACAAAGCGGGAAUCGGUCGAUAAACCUCUGCAUCCGGCUCUCACAUCUCCCACACCCCCAACGCUUAAUCUUCAUUACUUUUCUUUUACUAGGGCUUCUUUUUCUUGUGCCAUUUUACUCUAGUUUUUGUUAUCUUUCCCUGUCCAAAAAAAGAAGUUGGUAUUUUUUCGAGCCAUCUGAUUGAUUGGUUAUAAUUGCGGUGGAUUCAACAUCAGAUCGUCUUAAUACAUAGACGAUUAGGAUUGGGAAAAGGAAAUUCGUAGCGUUGCAAAGCUAUUAGGCUCUUAGGUUUCCCGCUUGAUGCAGAUUUUGAUCUGGAAUUUGUAGAUUUGACUACAGAAAUAACUUGAUAAUAUUGAAUCUGGAAUAUCAAGUGGUGAAAGAAAAGUUUUUUAAGGGGAUGGAUGGUAGGGUGCUUAUGGUAAGAUGAAGCAUGGUUCACGAUGUAUGAUCAUUACGGAGUCAAGAAGGUCAAGAAUGUGAUGGUAAACUUCUUUGUAAUAGGAUGGUUCGUUAUGUUGUUUGAAAAUUCUUGUUCUCUUAAUCGAUUAUAAGAGUAGGAGUCCUGAUCAUGAAUCAAGAAAUAUAAAUUGUGGGAUGAUGUUUAUUAUUUAUUUUUUCAGUCUUUCAUUUAUUUGUCAUCCAUCAUUGGCAGGAAUAAGGGAUCCUGUUGGCAAAAUGAUUUUCCUUGUCAGGUUUUGCCAUGUAUGGUAAGAUAUCUAUAUUUCUGAUGUACAUUGAUGCAAUGUACCUAAAUAAUUGGCGGUUCAGGUGAUUCAGAGAUGCUCUGUAUUUAUGGCUGCUACUUACUCCCAUUGUUCAGAAAUUUAUUGAAUGCUCCUUUUUGUUCAGAAUUUUUCAUGCCAGUAAAUAUAUUAUGAAAUCUAUGCUGAUCUGUGCAGAAAGGAAAAUUAUCAUUCAUUAUGAUCGGUACUGAAAUAUCUUCUGCAAUUAAGUAAUUCAAGAAGUUAACCAAAUUAUUUCCUCAUGUUCCUUAAUGCCAUCAGAUCACAAGCCAAAUGUCACAUUUCUAAAAUAAUACUACUUGGUAACCAUAAGCAUAAUCCAACAAGUCUUAUGCCUUUUAUUGGAGUUCAUCUCAUACAGUCCUAUUACCUCAGUAUGAUUCAUAUGAGUAUAAUCAUCACAUGAGUACAUUAGAUACUUGCUAGAGAUGAAGUCCCCAAAUUCAUACAUAAUGACAUGUCGGGAUGGCUGAUACACAUUAUCUGUAUAUGGAUCUGCAUGCAGUGAGUUGCAUAUGUAUAUUUGUCUAAUACUAGCAGGAAGCAUUUUCUAAGGAUAGUGGACCUGCUCCAAAUCUUCAUGGAAACUCAUCCCUAUACUUGCACCCACUGCCGGUAGCUGAGGGCAAACUUAUCAUCUCCUAUUAGUGAAUGAAGAAGAUAAAAAUGAGUUCUUGUAAUAUUCAUCAAUUAAAAAACCAGUGUUUUAAGUACCAAAAUGUAUUGGGUGGUAUGUGUACCCCAUUUGCCUAGUAAUGGUACCAAUUUGGGGGCUUGGUACACUCCCUUACCAACGCAUGGUAUGAGUGCUUUGCUGACUCCAACAAUGUAUGAUGUGCAGAUAUGAAGGAUACUGUAUCAUACCAUACUGUAUUAGUAUGGUACUGGUACUCAAGUGCUAGAACUUAUAUUAUUGAAAGUAUCUAUAAGUAAAUUUCACCCCCCACAAAACAAAAAAAAGAAAAAAAAAGAAAAAAAAAGAAGAGAAUCUACAUGCAAAGGAAGAAAGAUAAACUGGUUCAAUAGUUUUAUAAGGCAUCAUCUUUUUAUAAUAUUCCUUAUGUUUUGAUGACAAUGACAUGACUUUUUUUUUUCUUUUGGUUAGCCACCUUAGAGCUGACAUCUCUUCCAGGCUUGAGCAUGCACUAUUUGUAUUUUCUUUGGAUGCCUUUUCUUACCUUCAGUCUGCAAGGUCUUCAUCUUGGCCUAGAAAUUGGUUCCUAUUGGUAUUGGAAACUUGCCAGCCCUUGCUAUCUCAACUGAUGUAAUGAGACAUGUCCUGAGUUGACAUUGGCUGAUAUUCAACAUAUUGGCCUUGAUUUUUUAAUAUUUUGUGAGCAACAAUAUUAAAUGGGCUUUUAAGUUAUCAAAUGUCAAAGCCAAUUAUUUAAAUAGUAGUUAAUCCCAGUUUCUGUAUAUUGGCCAAGAACUAUGAAUUUCUCGCUAGUUUACAAAUUUUUCUAGCCUUCCAUCUUCACUGACAUAAACCAAGAUCUUGGUGCAUCUUGGUUCUGGCCAUCUCACUGAUCUUGGUGCAUCUUGGUUCUGGCCAUCCAGUGAGAUGGCCAAGAUACCAUUCAAAAAUCUUAUCAAGUAACUUUUCAUUUUAUAACAUUGUUGUCCUAUUAAGACACCUUACCUAAGUUAUUGUUAUAUGAUUCUGUGUACUUUCGUGAAUUUUCUUACUUGCUCUGCACUUUGAUGUGUUGUAAAAUUUUCAUUUGAUCUCCACACACCAAGACUUCACGUAUAUUUCUAAGAUGACCAUCUAGUAGACAAAAUUGAAAAAUAGAUAUCCAACUUCAGAAGGUUUGCUCUGACCUUUCCACAACUGGGUGCUUGUAAAUAGUAUGCAUAAUUAAUUUUCUUGAUUUGUUUAUCCACCACCUCUUUUGUUUUUAUUUGUAGUUGGAUUUAAUGCUGAGAUCUGAUAGGUUUAUCUCCAUAAUGGAAAAUAUUUCAGGUUCAGAGCUUUGUGAAACUUCUAUAGUUGCCUGGCUGUAAGAGAAUUUCUUAUAUGUCAUGGUUGUAAUGAAACAUUUAGCUCCCAUGAGGUUGAUGUAUACCUUAUUUUUAUAUAUCAAUAGAUGAUCUUGAAUCAUCAGGCAAAUCCUUCCUAAUUUGCUUUUACUCAGGUUCUAAGAAACUCAUGUAAAUAAGCAAAUGAAGAUUUAGAAUGUCUAUGUUGUACAAAGACAAUAAUGAAGUCAAUGUUGUGAAUCAUUUAAUUGAUUGCUAUCUAAUUGAGGUUCUUAUUUAACUGGUAAGGAAAAGAAAUUUGAUAAAGAACCAUGAAAAUAAGGCUGUGCAUGCAGAAAAAGUUUUUAUGGGAUGAAGGUUUUUUGUCUAAAUGAUGUAGUCAAAAACUUGUAUAUACCAAUUCCAAGUUCUGUGAAAGGAACAUUUGCAAAUGAAUUUUGUUAUUGACUGUUAUAAA